rnacentral:rRNA from 1 species
AGGAUUAACGCUGGCGGCGUGCCUAACACAUGCAAGUCGAACGAGGUAGCAAUACCUAGUGGCAGACGGGUGAGUAGCGCGUGGUCAACCUACCGUUGAGUGGGGGAUAACUAGCCGAAAGGUUAGCUAAUACCGCAUACGUCUCCGAGGGGCAUCCCUUGGCGAUAAAAAGGAGCAAUCCGCUCGAUGACGGGACCGCGUCCCAUUAGCUAGUUGGUGGGGUAACGGCCUACCAAGGCGUCGAUGGGUAGCUGGUUUGAGAGAGCGACCAGCCACACUGGGACUGAGAUACGGCCCAGACUCCUACGGGAGGCAGCAGUGAGGAAUUUUCCGCAAUGGGCGAAAGCCUGACGGAGCGACGCCGCGUGUGGGAAGAAGGCCUUCGGGUCGUAAACCACUGUCGAAGGGGAAGAUAAUGACGGUACCUUGGAGGAAGCCCGGCUAACUACGCGCCAGCAGCCGC